GCGUGCCAGAUAUAAGGAAUUCUUGCCUGGAGAGAGCGUUUCACUUUCUUCACGUCUUGAAGAAUCCAAACGUGCUUCUGCCAGCAAAGUUAAGAAAAAGGAACGGUGGCUGAGUUGCACAAGUGAACCAGGACGACACAAAAUUAAGUCAAAGAGGAAUGCUCAUUUUCCUAUUUUGUAAGUCUGUUGGUCAGCUUUUCUGUAAGACAUCCAUUUAAUUAUAAAGGCCAUUAGUUUUCCUCAUUUCCUGGUUUAUGAGUGCAGUUUACAGAACUGUCUGGGU
rnacentral:lncRNA from 1 species